GUUGUAUGGCUAGCAACGCGCGUGGACUUGCUCUGCGUUGCGUCAAGCGACCGUGCUUCCAUUGUUUGGCGCGCGACGGCUAACUCAGAACUGGCACGGACCAGGGGAAUCCGAAUUUCUGAUUAAAACAAAGCAUUGCGAUGUCCGCUGACCGGUUAUGACGCAAUGUGAUUUCUGCCCGGUGCUCUGAAUGUCAAAGUGACGAAAUUGAACCCGGCGAGGGUAAACGGCGGGAGUAACUAUGACUCUCUUCAACGACAAUUGGAUAUUCUUUCACAUCAUCUCUCUCU
rnacentral:ncRNA from 1 species